GCUUUGGCCACACCGCCUGGUAUACGCUUGAUCUCGGAAGAUAAGAUAGGUUGGGCCUGGUUAGUACUUGGAUGGGAGACCGCCUGGGAAUACCAGGUGCUGUAAGCU
rnacentral:rRNA from 1 species